rnacentral:tRNA from 2 species
CUAGAAGGACGGGCUACGACCCCGCGAC